AGGGAAUAUUGGACAAUGGGUGUGAGCAUGAUCCAGCCAUGCCGCGUGCAGGAAGAAGGCCUUGUGGGUUGUAAACUGCUUUUAUCUGGGAAUAAAAAACCCGUGCGCGUGGAACUGAAGGUACCAGAUGAAUAAGCCACGGCUAACUACGUGCCAGCAGCCGCGUUAAUACGUAGCUGGCGAGCUUUGUCAGGAUUCAUUGGGUAUAAAGGGUGCGUAGGCGGCCAAUUAAGUCAGUGAAGAAAGCCCCCGGCUUAACCGGGGAGGUGGCAUUGAUACUGGUUGGCUUGAGUGCUGUCGAGGCAGGAGGAAUUGACGGUGUAGCGGUGAAAUGCUUAGAUAUAGUCACGAACACCGAUAGUGAAGACAGCUUGCCAGAGAGCAACUGACGGUGAGGCAAGAAAGUGUGGGGAGCAAACAGGAUUAGAUACCUUGUUAGUCCACACUGUAAACGAUGAUGACUCGCUGUUGGCGAUAUACAGUCAGCGGCCAAGAGAAAUCGUUAAGUCA
rnacentral:rRNA from 1 species